UUGAGCCGACGGGUACCCAGCUUCGGCUUUUCUCAGUUUUCAACCGAAAUUGUAAUUCAAGUGGACCAUCAGAAAAGAAACAGAAGAAAUGAAAAAUGGUCACACAGCCUUUGCAGAGAUUCGAGCAGCGGAACUCCCGAUUGCCAGCCGUUCGUGCUUUCCAGUUACACCAGAAAGGCACACGUUUUAACAGAAACACCAUUUCUUAGAUGAUUUUCAACAUGGAAGGAUGUUAAAAUAUUAUUGAAGUAUGCAAAUUCAUUAAUCUGAAUACUUCACCAGUGUGAAUGUAUGAUGGCUUUAAAAAAUGGCUGAUGUCAGGUUGAACUUUGAGCAAAGAAAAUUCAUUCUCAUGUGCCACUGGAUGUGAUGACCUAAGAAAGUGAUUACCAAAGAUAGUUCAGAAUGAAGUUUCAACGUGAUGCACCAACGCGACUCACAAUUACUCGUUUGCGAGAUAAGUGUGAGGACGAAGGAACUGUCCAGAAUGCCCAGAAAAACAAUUCCGGAAGACCACGAUCAUCGACCGACACACAUGGAAUAGAGAAGUUAUCGAAAGUUCUCAGCAGUCUCCUCUAGAAAAUCUGUUCGGUAAGCGGCUUGUGAGAAUGGCGUUCCAAAAAGAGUGUCCUUCGCAUUUUGAAGCGUGCCCAAUAGAAAAGUUUUAUUCCUAGAUUUCACCACCUCUGAAUGAAGAUGAUCAUGACCAGAGAAUUGAAUUUUGUGAGUGGUAUUUAGCAAGAUGCGCACAGGAGAAUCAGUUCUCAUACAAGAUUGUUUGGAGUGAUGAGGUCACUUUUAAAUUAAAUAAUGCAAUUAAUCGUCACAGUUAUACCUACCGGACAGCUGAGAACCCUCAUGUGACAGUGAAACACCGUGUCAACCUACUAGGUGUUACAGUGCGGUGUGGUUUAUCAGCAUUUGGCUUGAUUGGACCUUUCUUUUUUGACUAUAGAGUGAGUAGUGAAAAUUAGGGAAACUUAUUAUAAGAAUACGUCAUGCCAUACAUCGAAGAGAGAUAAUGUUGCGGGAUGAAGAAUGGUAUUUCCAGCAAAAAUGGAGCACUCCUUCCACGCUCGCCGGUUUUGACCCCUAUGGAUUUUUUUUUCUGUAAGGGCAUGUCAAGCACCAAGGUUUGUAACACAAGACAAACUACCAUCAAUGAGCUGAAAGCAGCUUUUGAAAGAGAAUUUGACCAAAUGCCAAUUGCAAUAAUUAGUAACAAUUUGAAUUCCAUCGGUCAGCGUUAUCAACUUUGUCUGGACCACAAUAGCCAUUAAUUUGAACACUUUCAGUAAAUGCUGGUUUCUACAUUUGCAUUUUGAAUUUUGAAAUUUUUCGGUGUCGUAAUAAUUAUUAGGGUUAAAGUCAUAAAAAGUGCAUAUAUUUUAUUGGGACACCCUGUAUAUGUUGCUUCAGAUUUUCAGAAAAAAAUAUUUCCCUUCAUAUUGCAGUUUAAAACAUUGUCAUAUGGAACUUCGAAAGAAGUAAUAAUUGAACUUGAAAUUAAAUGCGUAGUACAAUGCAAACCUCGAAACAGAAGAUUUGCAUCUAGUGUAUUAAA